rnacentral:misc_RNA from 1 species
UACAGAGGGUGCGAGCGUUAAUCGGAUUUACUGGGCGUAAAGCGUGCGUAGGCGGCUUUUUAAGUCGGAUGUGAAAUCCCCGAGCUUAACUUGGGAAUUGCAUUCGAUACUGGGAAGCUAGAGUGCAGUAGAGGGAGGUGGAAUUUCCGGUGUAGCGGUGAAAUGCGUAGAGAUCGGAAGGAACACCAGUGGCGAAGGCGGCCUCCUGGUCUGUAACUGACGCUGAGGCGCGAAAGCGUGGGGAGCAAACAGG